rnacentral:lncRNA from 1 species
GUCAUUCCCAGGGUCACAGGGUUGCUCAGUCCAGUUCAGAAACUUUUUGAGUCUCAGGGCAUUUCCCAGGGUCACAGUGGUGCACAGAAACUUCUCCAGAGUGUGAGGGGUGUCAUUUUCUUUCCAGGCUCUCAGUGAAGCUAUAAUCUUCCUAGGUUACAAUGAUGCUAAGUGCCUUCCCCAGAGUCUUAGUGAUCCUGAGGACCUUCUUCAGGGUAUCAGAGGAGUUCAGGGUCUUUCCCAGUGCCAAUGGAACCCAGGGCCUACCCUAGAGUUUCAGGAGGACUCAAUGUGUUCUCCAGAAUUUCAAUCUUGUUUGAGAGGUCCACAUGGAUUUCAUGGUGCUCAGAUUUUUUUUCCCAGUGUUUAGAAAGUCUAAGGUCUCAACAAGAUUCACAGAGUUGUCAAAUUCAUUCAUGGUUGUCUCAAUGAUGUUCAAAAUUUUCCUCAAUGUCUUUAGAAGGCAAAGAGCCAUUCUUAGGUUGACAGAUGUAUUCACAACCUCCCCAAGAGUCUUAGUGGUCUCAUUGCCUUCCCAGGCUCUCAGUGCAGCUCAGCAACCUUCCGAUGGUCACCAUGUGCUCAGGGCAUUAGUGAGGGUCUCAGUAGUUCUCCUCACAUUUUCCAGGGCUCACUGAGUUUCAGAGCCAUCCCCAGAGUCUCCUUUUCUUUCCUGUAUGUUUACAGGUUCUCCAUGAGGCUCAGUGCUAGUCUCAGAGUCUCAGUGAUGUUCAGUGCUUCUUCCAACCUCAGAAUGAGGUUCUGGGUGUUCUCCAAGGUUUAGGGCCAUUCAGGGUUUCUCAACAAAGUCCAGAGCACUACCCAAGGUCUUUGUGAAGCUGAGUGUCAUUUCCAGCAUCACAGUGGUGCUCAUCAUCUUCCCAAGAGUUUGAUUAAUUGUGUCAGAGCAUUUCUAAGUGUCAUGGUGAGGCCUAGGAUCUACCCUCUUCUUUCAGCACAUUUACAAACUGUACACAAUAUAUAGUGGUGCUUAGACUCUUCCCCAGUAUUCUGGAAACAUAAUGGCUCUUACUAGUGUCUCCAAGGGGAAUAGUGCCUUGCCCAGUGUGUUAUUGUAACAGAUAAACAUUUCCAUUGUCACAGUUGUGCUCGGUUCCCUCCCCACUGUGUCAGUGGCAUUUGGGCAACUCCAUUUUUCUGAGUGUAAGCUCAGAGUUUUCUUCAAAGUUUAGCUCUGACUCAGUGCUUUCCUCAGUGACUUACUGGGUUCAGAGAAUUCUCUAGGGGUGUUUUGUUUGUUUUGAGUUAUCAGGUAUAAUUGGUUUUCAGAUUUUCCCCAAGAACUUCUAUGUGCCUAAAGACCUGAAAUAGCUUCUCAGUGGGUUUUGUGACUUCCACCAGGGUCUAAGUGGGUUUGAGGACCUUUCCCAGGAUAUCAUUGUGUCUCAGUGCUUUUCAGACUCAACAAGGAAGCUCAUGGCUCUCUUCUGUUCCUUACUGGGCCUCAAUGCCUUCCACAGUAUAUCAGUAGUUCUUUUAAUCCUCUCCAGAUUCUCAGUCAGACAAAAGGCUAUCCAUGGUAUUUCAAGGGUGUUCACAUGUUUUUUUAACAAGUGUGUGUUUUAAAGGCCUUCAAAAGUGUGUCUUAGAAUUCAGCCAUUCACUGGUGUCUAAAUGGGAUUUAGGGGUUUUCCCAGUGAAUCACUGGAAUUUAGAACUUCUCCAGGUCAGUAUGAAUCCCAUGGCCUUUCAUGUGCAUUAAAUGGAGUGUGAUUCUUUCCUUGCCCAGAAUCUCAAUGAGUUUUAUGGUCUCCUCAAUUCUCAUAGUCCUAUUCAGGGUGGUCUCCCAGAGUCUCAGUGUUCUCCUUCCAUUCCUCAGGCAUUCAGUGGAUCUCUUGAACAUUCCCUGAAUCUCAAUGUGGUUCAGGAUGUUCCCCAAAAUUUCAUAGAGCCAAAAGCAUUGCCCAAAUCCUCAGUGGAACUCACUACCAUUACCAGCUCUUCAGGUUUUCUCAGAAUAUUUUGCAGUGUCUCAAUCAUGUUCAGUGCUAUUUCCCAGAGUCUCACCUCGGCUUAAAUAUUUCCCCAAAGGUAGACUGGGUUCAGUGUCAGUAAAUCUCAGCCCCUUUUCCAGGCUCUCAGUGGAGUUCAUUGCCAUUCCCAGGGUCACAGUUGUUCCCAAGGCCUUCUUCACAGUCAUAAUGGUGUCAUUGCCUUUCCAAGCAGUCAAUGAAGCUAUAGUUUUCCUAGGUUACACUGGUGACCAUGGUGUACCCCAUUGUCUACCUGACACUCAGCGCCUUCUUCAUGAUAUCAGAGGAGCUCAGGGGCUUUUGUUUUUGUUUAGUUUUGUUUUUGUCAGUGUGUCUCAUGACCUAUUCUAUGGUCUGAGGAGGGCUCAAGGCCUUCCUCAGAAUUUCAGUCAUGUUUAGAAACCUCCACAUGUUCUUCAUGGUGC